rnacentral:rRNA from 1 species
CGUGAGAGUAGGAAAUUUGAAAGGAGCUGGCCUAAGUACGUAGAGGACCGGGAUGGAAAUACCGCUGGUGUAGCAAGUGUCGUGCCAACGGCAUAGCUGGGUAGCUAUGUAUGGACGGGAUAAGUGCUGAAAGCAUCUAAGCAUGAAGCCCCCCUCGAGAUGAGAUUUCCCAACUUCGGUUAUAAGAUCCCUCAAAGAUGAUGAGGUGAAUAGGUUCGAGGUGGAAGCGUAGCGAUACGUGGAGCUGACGAAUACUAAUCGAUCGAAGACUUAAUCAAU